AUUUGGUACAUGCAGUAACAGAUGAUUUUUACUUGAAAAUGUUUAAAUGUAACUUUUACUUGAUUGUCGUUUUCGAUCUGCGUUUUAGGCUUACAAAAGAUAGAAUACAAGGAAUCACGGCGCUACUUUUGUCAGUCCAAGUAACUUAGACUUGCAAAAGAACAACAAUCGACGCAAGUGUUUCAGUCCAGCCAUGCACAAGUAACACAAGUGACGGGGCCAUGCUAAUCUUCUCUGUAUCGUUCCAAUUUUAGUAUAUGUGCUGCCGAAGCAAGCACGAGCUGGGAGUCUGGAGGACGGCUAUAUAUACCAGUGACUUCUGGGCAUGCGCAGAUCCCCCCUGCCUUGGAUAAGAGCACAAAACACUCCGACAAAAGGAAGCUGCUCUCACUAGAGCAGAGCCCAUGAAAACCCAGACAGACACGUGGAGGGUAAGAAUACUCUAAAUCUUGGAGACAUGAAAAACUGAGUUCACAGCCGGCGUUGAACUCAAAGCUCUCAGCAGAACAAAGAUCAAACAUUCAAACUGACGUCGAGAACAAAGCCUGCCUGUCAUGCAGCUACAUGUGCUAUGUAGCAUUCUCCUGGAUAUCGUAGUUGUGAAAUUUGUUUUUAUGUUUUAAAAAGGACUAUAAAAGUCAUUAGUUGCACAGAGAUUAGUUUGUUAUGUCUUAACUAUAGCUUCAUAGAAUCUUGCUAAUAAUCUGACUUUAAGUUUUUGCUUACAGCAUUUAUCCACAAAGCUUAAAUGGAUAGUUUACAGGAAAAUAAAAGUGGCUCAGAAAAGUGGCCUCUUUUUGAGUUUUUUCCCCGUUGAACACACAAAAACAUGCUUUGAGGAAUGUUGGGAAAUAGCAGCCAUUGAUAUUCAUUGUAGGAAAAAAAUGCAAGUCAAUGACUUCCAGCUUUAUUUACUAUGUCUUCUUUAAAACACCUUUAUUUUAUACCUAAAAAAAAAUUUGAAAGAAGUGGAAUGUUGAGUUUGAUAGAAUUUCCAUUUUGUUAGUGAACUGUCUCUUUAAGUGGCUCCAACACUAUGAGUUUCCUUUCUCUGGUUUAAAACCAGUACAUUAGUAGGAAAAAAUACAAUGGAAGUCAUUGGCUACUUUUUUCCCCAGCAUUUUCUUAAAAAAGAAAUGCUUUAACAAAAGAAGGAAACUAAUAGAUGCUGGAGCAAGUGGAGGGUGAGUAGGCAUAGGCCGGUAUAAGGUUUUGACUGUAUGAUAACCUUGGAUAAAAAUAUCACAGUUUGACAGUAUUGUGGUUUUUGAUUUAAAAUAUAUAUAUAUUUUUAAAUGUCUGAAACUUUUUCUCCUAUUGAAAUCAAUAUAUAUUAUACUUUAAGGAACAUUUAAAAUAUUUUGGAGCUGUAAAUAAGCAGGAUAAAUAAUUAAAAUAAAUCACCAAGUUCUGUAAUUAGUUUCAAAGAUUUUUUUACAACUUGAAAAUGCAUCUUUGGCACUGUUCAGGUCCAUAGUAUGCUUGUAUGUAGGUGCAUAAGCUACUUGUUUCUCACAUGUUGUUGUGUAUGGUUGAUGUGUAUGGUUAUUUGCUGCUGGAGAUAUACUGCAGAAACUGUAAAACAGAAAAAUGUAGCGGUUUCGAAACUGUGACUUUUUCAAACAGAGGUAAACCUUGAAACUGGUUAUCAUCCCAUGCCUAAGGGUUAGUAACAUCAUGUAGCAAUUGUAGAAUUGAUAUUGAGCAAUUCUGGAAAAAAUGCAUCACCGUUUCUACAAAAAUAGCCAGCACAAAUGAUUUCAAGAUUUAAAUUAAUAAUAAAUGUUUUGUUUACUACCAAAUCAGCAUAUUUGAAUGAUUUCUGAUGGAUCAUGUGACACUGAAGACUGGAAUCAUGUUAAAUAUGAGCCUAGGAUCAAGAUAUAAAGUAGGUUUUAAAUAUAUGAUAACAUAAUUAGAUUUAAUAACAUUGUAAUAACAUUUCACGGUAUUAUGCAUUUACUGUGUUUGGAUUAAAUAAAUACACCCUUACUGUA